UGGUCAAGUUAUUAAGGGUGCAGGGCGGAUGCCUUGGCACUAGGAGCCGAUGAAGGACGUGAUAAGCUGCGAUAAGCUUCGGGGAGUUGCACGUAAACUUUGAUCCGAAGAUUUCCGAAUGAGGAAACUCACUUAGAGUAAUGUCUAAGUAUCAUUAAGUGAAUACAUAGCUUAAUGAGGGGAACUCAGGGAACUGAAACAUCUAAGUACCUGAAGGAAGAGAAAGAAAUUCGAUUCCGUAAGUAGCGGCGAGCGAACGCGGAUUAGCCCAAACCAAUAAAGUUUUCUUUAUUGGGGUUGCGGACAUAUCAUAACGAAGAGGUAUCGUAAUUGAAGAGGUUUGGAAAGACCCACCACAGAAGGUAAUAGUCCUGUAUGUUAAACGAGAAGACUUCAGAUAUGAUCCAGAGUACCACGAGACACGUGAAACCCUGUGGGAAGCAGGAGGGACCACCCUCCAAGGCUAAAUACUACCUAGUGACCGAUAGCGUAUAGUACCGUGAGGGAAAGGUGAAAAGAACCCCGGGAGGGGAGUGAAAUAGAACCUGAAACCCUGCACUUACAAGCUGUGGAAGCACAUUUCUUGUGUGACCGCGUACUUUUUGUAGAACGGGCCAACGAGUUACGUUAAGUAGCAAGGUUAAGCACUUAAGGUGCGGAGCCGUAGCGAAAGCGAGUUUUAACUGAGCGUUCAGUUACUUGACGUAGACCCGAAACCGGGCGACCUACCCAUGAGCAGGAUGAAGCGAAAGUAAAAUUUCGUGGAGGUCCGAACCCACGAGCGUUGAAAAGCUCGGGGAUGACUUGUGGAUAGCGGUGAAAUUCCAAUCGAGCCCGGAGAUAGCUGGUUCUCCCCGAAAUAGCUUUAGGGCUAGCCUCAAGGUGAGAGAUACGGAGGUAGAGCACUGAAUGUCCUAGGGGGUAUUGCACCUACCGAAGACUAUCAAACUCCGAAUGCCGUCAUCUUAUACUUGGGAGUCAGACUGUGGGUGAUAAGAUUCAUAGUCGAAAGGGCAACAGCCCAGAUCGUCAGCUAAGGUCCCUAAAUGUAAGUUAAGUGGUAAAGGAUGUGGGAUUGCACAGACAACCAGGAUGUUGGCUUAGAAGCAGCCACUCAUUCAAAGAGUGCGUAAUAGCUCACUGGUCGAGUGAUCCUGCGCCGAAGAUUUCCGGGGCUAAAACUUACUACCGAAGCUACGGCAUCAGUAAUGAUGGGUAGGGGAGCUUCCCAUACGGGUUGAAGCGUGACCGUAAGGACAUGUGGACAGUAUGGGAGUGAGAAUGUUGGCAUGAGUAGCGAGAUGUGGGUGAGAAUCCCACAGGCCGUAAACCCAAGGUUUCCAGGGGAAGGUUCGUCCGCCCUGGGUUUAGUCGGGACCUAAGCUGAGGCCGAAAGGCGUAGGUGAUGGACAACAGGUUGAUAUUCCUGUACUACCGAUAACCGUUUGAGAGAAGGGAUGACACAGUAGGAUAAGCUAAGCACACUGUUGGUUAUGUGUGCCCAAGCAUUGAGGCAGUCAAAGUAGGCAAAUCCGCUUUGAUAAUGCUGGGAUGUGAUGGGGAGCGAAAUUUUAGUAGCGAAGUAGCUGAUUUCACACUGUCAAGAAAAGUCUCUAUCGAGGUUAAAGGUACCCGUACCGCAAACCGACACAGGUGGGUGAGGAGAGUAUCCUAAGGCCAGCGAGAGAACUGUUGUUAAGGAACUCGGCAAAAUGACCCCGUAACUUAGGGAUAAGGGGUGCCACCAUCAGGUGGCCGCAGAGAAUAGGCCCAAGCGACUGUUUACCAAAAACAUAGG
rnacentral:rRNA from 1 species